GUCUGCGUUUCUCAACUAAUAGUUUUGUCUGUAUCUAUUGUUAUGAAUUAGACCGAUUGCCAUAUAACGCAAGUUGAACUAACAGACGCAAUAAAGAAAGUUUCCGUUCCGGGAAGAAUUGGAUGCAUUAUACUUAAACGAUUAAUUUAAAGAAUGAAUGACCAUGACAGAAAUCUGUUUCGAGCGAUUCAAGUUCCCUUUGCCAAGAGGGUUGAUUCAAUUGAAAUGUUGGGGUACAUUACAUGUCUGUCAGAGCAUACAAGGGAUACUGUAAGAAAUUCUCAAACUGCUCACAAUGGCUCAAAACUCUUGGCAGCUCAGACACUGUUUGCAGCUCUAAAGUGUCGUCCAGAUGGUUUACAACAAGCUGCAAAAGCCCUUCGCAAGUGUGGUCAUGACGAUCUAGCUAAUAAGAUAGAA